rnacentral:lncRNA from 1 species
GGGGAAGAGAGGAAGGAGACGACGAAGAGGUCGCCCGUUUGGAGGACAGAAUUUAUCCUGUCAACACCAGCUAAGCUCUCGAUCAAGCAAGUGUCAGCCUAUAGCGUCCACUAGAGCAACAAGAACCGUGGCCUUGUCAAUGCUGCGGAUGGAUCUCGACAAUGAUGUGUUGGCGAGCACCACCGUGCCGAAGCAAGAGAAGACGGCGAGGUAAUGGCGUCGCCACCGAUUUGAAGCGAGUUUGAAGGCUGGCGCGGCGCAGCGGUGGUGUAAGAAGAAGAGAAAUUAUUGUUUUUUUUUUUUA